UUUAAAGCGGCAAAAACUGCAUAUGCCUCUGCUGUAAAUAUGGAGCACUUUUUAUCGAGAGCAAAGCUUUGAGCAAAAUCUUUUUGGGAAUCAUAUACCGCACUUCUCACAAAAUCAUUGCCUUUACUGCCAUCAGUGUAGAUUGUAUAAUACUUGUUAUUUUCUUCUAUAAAAGCCAGUAAAUCUGAAUUAUUUUCGAUUGAAUUUGAUAAAAUCGUAAUAGGAUGAGUGAUACAACUGUAUGAAUGAGUGUAACACGACCAGUGUGAAAGUUUUUUGAUGUUCGAAUAAUGAGAUUGUAUUUCUAAGAAGAUCUGGCACAGAGUUGGAGAUGUACCUCUCAGGAGAUCAUUUGGUGAAGUGAGUGGACCAUCUAUAUUGAUUGGAUCCGAUAUGAGAGAAAUGAAGCUAUCAACACAACUUCUUCCUCUGCGAAAUCCAUAUUGAAUGUGUGGAAUGACAUUAUUGGAUUCUGCAUACCAGUCAAGUCGAGAUUUCACCAUAUUUUCAAAUAUUUUUCCAAUACAUGAUGAUAACGAGAUUGGACGAUAAGAACUGAUCUGUUCAGGUGACUUAUCUGGUUUUAAUAUAGGUAUUACACAUUGAGUUUGCCAUGAACUUGGUAUGAGUUUUUUAUGCCAUAGAUUAUUAAGAACAUUCAAAAAUAGCUUUUGUACAGAUUCAGAUAGAUGUUUUAUUAAUAAAUAUGGAAAAUCAUCUAAAC